GAUCCUGGCUCAGGAUAAACGCUGGCGGCAUGCCUAAUACAUGCAAGUCGAACGGAGUUACCUUCGGGUAACUUAGUGGCGAACGGGUGAGUAACACGUAGGUAAUCCAUCCCAAGGACGAGGAUAGCUUCUGGAAACGGAAGGUAAAACUGGAUAGUUAAUUAAAGGGCAUCCUUUAGUUAUUAAAAGAGCAAUCUACCCUGGGAAGAGCCUGCGGCGCAUUAGCUAGUUGGUGAGGUAAUGGCCCACCAAGGCGAUGAUGCGUAGCCGGACUGAGAGGUCGACCGGCCACAUUGGGACUGAGACACGGCCCAGACUCCUACGGGAGGCAGCAGUAGGGAAUUUUCGGCAAUGGGCGGAAGCCUGACCGAAGCAAUGCCGCGUGAAUGAUGAAGUAUUUCGGUAUGUAAAGUUCUUUUAACAGGGACGAAAAAACAAAUUGACGGUACCUGUUGAAUAAGCUCCGGCUAACUACGUGCCAGCAGCCGC
rnacentral:rRNA from 1 species